UCGUUACCGGAGUUAGUUCCUUCGGUGCUGUUGCGAAUAAAAUUGGAAUACUUUUCGCUACAGAAGGCCCCUUCUACCAUCGACGCUACCGCCGCCGCCGUCGCCGCCCUUCAUUGACCCCGCAUUUUGUACUCGGCUUUCGCGGUCACAGACUCCGGUUUUUGCUUCUUUUGAGAUCGGCUAACAAAUUCCGAGACUCUCUUAUACUUUGAGUUUACCCUUGGACCUUUUCUUAUUUUACUUAUAAAGUUGAAUAUCAAAAAGUAGCCAAAGAUGUCACAGUUAAAAGGAGCUACGAAAUACAAAGCGAUCAUUUUCUAUUGGAAGCAAAAAUAAGAACAGACAGAGAAGAGCCUAGGUUAAACAAGGUAACAGAUAAAAGAAAAAUAUAUCCAGACGCCAUAAAAUCGUCCGUACGAUACAAAACAAGAAAGAAACAGAAAGUACAAAGAACAAAGGUUAAGUAAAAGUGAUGAACUUAGUUCAUCGAUCAAAACAAAAACCAUGGGAAGAUUUCGGAAACAAGCUAAAGAAGACAGAAAAGUAGCCAAAAGCUGUUCUACAAAGUUUUAAAAAGUUUUAGAGGUGGCAAAAAAGUCGAUAGCUUAGCAACUGCAAAUGAAGCAGGAAAAUUACUAACAAAACAGAAAUAAUGAAAGUAAUAUUUCCAAAAUCUACUCAAUGAGAACGACAGAACACCAAAGAGACGAAGAGCAAGAAACUUUGCAAGAAUAGCAAAUAGAAAUUAGAUACUAUUAAACAGCUAAAGACAGGCAAAGCACCAGGAAAGGAUAAAAUUAUAACCGAAACUGUUAAAAACAUAGGAGAACAAGGAAUAUUACUAGUUUUGAAGAUUUGCAAUAAAGUGUGCAAAAAGGAGUAAGUGCAAAAAAGGUGGGAAAUCCGACUUAUUCUGCCACUUUACAAAAAAGAACAUUGGUAUGAAAUAGAACAGUUUAAGGCAUUCCUAGAUAUGGAAACGGCCUUUGAUAAAGUGCAAAAAUAUGGAAAACACUAAAUAAAGUGAAGGUGGACCCAAAAUUAAUUAGAAUUACUAAAUGUAUGUAUAAGACAACGAGAAAUUGUGUAAUAAGAAGAAAUAUGGUAUUCGAAGAAUUUGUUGGGAUAAAAAAGAUAGUGAAAUGAAGAAAAUUGGCAGAAAAAGAGAGGUCAUCCUAAAGAAACUUGGGACAAUACAAUAGGAAAAAUACUAAAGAGGAAAGAGAAAUCUGUUCCCCUCUUGGUAAUUGACAUUUGAGAGGACCGAGUCAUCCCAUCCGCCUAUCUCCAUUUAUCUGUAGUUUGCGUGUAUGUACUUUAAUUUAAAAUACAAGCUUCAUUGUUGAUUUCACGAGCAAUUUAUACUUUGUCAUCCAAUUUGUUCGAAAGAUUGAAAAGGAUAUCAAAUAAAAAUAAUGUUAGAUAAAUUAAAU